CAAAUCGCUUUUAAAUUAAAUCGAUUUAUAUACCAAACCUUAUUUUAAAAUCAGUUUCUUUUAUCUGACCAAGUUUUUAACUAAUAAAAUUCAACCGUAACAAAAAAUUUAUAAAUGUUCAUAAAUACUAAUCAUAAAAUCCCAAAAUCGAAAUCAAGCCAUUGUCACCGCUACUCACCACCAUCCCCACCAUUGUCGCAAAUCUUCUUUUCUUCGCGCAACAAGAUUUUGUACCCUCGUUCUUCCGUCGUGCCAGCACCCUCGGUUGUGGUCGUAUCCGGUCAUAUUGCAAUUGUUGGAAUGAGGAUUUGUAACAGCUUAGAUACCUAAUUUGUAAAAUUGUGCAAAUUGGCUUAAUGCUAAACUUUUGUUAUGAUGUGCCAUUGCAAAAUAAGUUAUCAUCAAGUGGAGGUUCGGUUGCUUCAUCUACACCCUAAGACCCAGUGCAAAUGCUGAGUUUAACUUUCUAAUCAUAUUUUUUUAACUUUCUGAAUUUAACGGGCUACCACUUCAGUUGCCCCUUCGAGUGAAGUGAUAUCAGCUCAUCUUCAACCAUCUAGGCGUAAAAAUCGAUCAUAAACAUGGAAUUACUUUAAUGAAGUGUCAAAUGUCAUUAUUGUGGAAAUCUGAUUAAAUUCAAGGAUGAAACAAGUGCUAUGACUAUGCAUUUGAAAAUAUGUAAGGACCAUCCUGAUAAUCAAGAAAACAAAAGGCAAAGAACAUUUCCCUCAACAAAGUCUAUAGAAGGGGAAUCAGGUGUUGUCUCUUCACCUCAAUCGAAGUUUGACCAAGAGGCAUGUCAAUUGGAGUUUGUGGGCGCAUAACUUCCUUUUCGAUUUGUGGAAAAUGUGUUCUUUUCGAAUGUCUUACAACCACAUUUUGAUAUUUCCUCUAGCUCUACAUUAAAGUGUGCUAUUUGGUCACUUUAUGAUGGGGAGAGGGAAAGAUUUAAAAUUUUCAUCUCAAAGAAUUGUGGGUGGGUUUGUCUUACGACGAGCACACACUUCUAUCCAAAAUAUAAACUACAUGAGCCUAACUGCACAUGGUAAAAAAUGGAAUUUGCAUAAGAGAAUCAUGAUUUUUUGUCAAAUCACAAGCCAUACAUAAGAGUUCAUAGCUAAGGAUGUUGAGACAUGUUUAAAUGCUUGAGAGUUGAAUCAGAUAUUUAGUAUGAUAGUGCAUUGUCUAACAAAGUUGGAAUUAAAUUUAUGAAGAAGUGGAUGAAAGCAAUGAAUUGUUUGCUCGAGAAUAUAUCCAUAUGUGUACAUAUCUUGAGUUUGAUUUGAAAGGUUUGAAAGAUGAGAACAUUUAAAUCCAAAAAGCAUUAAGUAUUUGAGAUUGUCUCCUACAAUAUUGGCAAGGUUUAAGGGAUGCGUUGAGCUAGAGAAAAUUUCUUAUGAAGGCACAUAUCUCUAGAUGUGUAAACCCAAUGGAAUUUUACAUAUUUGAUGUUAUAAACGACAGUGAAAUAUAAAAAAGUCUUUGAUUUGUUAUAAAUUGUCGAUGUUAAAGUAUGUCAAAGAACUAUAUAACGAUAAAGGCCUUGGAUUAUCUCUAGCAAAAGACUAGGACUUUGCUAAUACCUUUUGCUAGAGGUACUCCAGGGCCUUUAUCCUUCUUUGACAUACUUAGCAUCGACAAUUUCUAACAAAUCAAAGACUUUUUUAUACUUCACAACUGUUUAUAAGAUCAAAUAUGUAAAAUUCUUUUUGGUUUCCACAUCUAGACAUAUGAGACUUUUAUACGCAAUUUUCUCUCUUUCAACGCAUCCCUUAAACCUUGUCAAUCUUGAAUACUUAACUGCUUUUCGGAUUCUUGGGAUGGAAAUGUGCUCAUCUUUCAAACCUUUCUUUACAAUCAAACAACACAUAUGUGCACAACACCGCAUAUGGAUAUAUUAUCCGUUCAAAAGCAAACACUUCCUUGCAUUCAUCCACUUCUUCAUAAAUUUAAUUCUAACUUUGUUAGAUGAUUCAACUCCCAAACAUUUAAACAUGUCUCAACUUUCUUAGUCAUGAACUCUCCUGUAUGGCUUGUGAUUUGACAUAAAUGUAGGAUUCUCUUAUGCAAAUUUCAUUUUUAUCCAUGAAAUGAGCAAUUAGGCUCAUGUAGCUUAGAUUUUGGAUAGAAGUCCAUUUGCUUGUCGUAAGACAAACCCUCUUACAAUUCUUUGAAAUGAAAAUUGAAAGUCUGUAUUUCCCUUUCUACGUCAUAAAGUGACCAAAUAGCACAUCUUAAUGUAUAGUGGGAUGAAAUAUCAAAUUGUGAUUGUAAAAAUUCACAAAGUUUCAAAAAAAACACAUUCUCCACAAAUCGAAAGGAAAUUGUAAGACCCGCAUUUUCUUCAUUAGGGUCAAAUUUCGAGGACGAAACUAUUUAAGGCAGGUAGAAUGUAACAUCCAGUCAUUUUAUUUUAUUUUAAUAUUUUACCUUAUUAUAAAAAAAAUUGUCGGUUACUGUUGUA